GCCUUUGUUGAUUAUUGGAUAUCACCUCAGCUCUAUUGCACUUGGAAAAUGUGCCAAUUGAGGUCACGGAGGUUCGAAUCCUCCCGAAGGCA